AGGAUGAACGCUGGCGGCGUGCCUAACACAUGCAAGUCGAACGUCCUGUCUCGCAAGAGGCAGGGAGUGGCGGACGGGUGAGUACCACGUGGGUCAUCUACCGUGAGGUGAGGAAUACCGGCGAGAAAUCGCCGACAAGACCGCAUAGGCUCGAUGCAAGUCGAGCAAAGCUCUUUCGAGAGAGGGAGCGCCACACGAGGAGCCUGCGCCCGAUUAGCUAGCUGGUGGAGUAACGGUUCACCAGGGCGACGAUCGGUAGCUGGUCUGAGAGGACGAUCAGCCACACUGGGAUUGAGAACGGCCCAGACUCCUACGGGGGGCAGCAGUGAGGAAUUUCGUCAAUGGGGGCAACCCUGAACGAGCAACGCCGCGUGCAGGAAGAGGUUUCGGAUCGUAAACUGCUUUUCUCGGGAAGAGAACGGACGGUACCCGAGGAAUCAGCCCGGCUAACUACGUGCCAGCAGCCGCGGU
rnacentral:rRNA from 1 species